rnacentral:tRNA from 1 species
AGCUUUAUAGUCAAUAAUGACAUUAGACUGCAAUUCUAAAGGAGUAAAUAAUUUACUAAGGCUU